UGCCAGCAGCCGCGGUAAUACAGAGGCCUCAAGCAUUAUCCGGAUUCACUGGGCGUAAAGGGUGCGUAGGCGGUUAUAUUAGUCAGAUGUUAAAUCCUUGGGCUCAACCCAAGAAUCGCAUUUGAAACGGUAUAACUAGAAUUAGUCAGAGGUUAGCAGAGCUCUCGGUGUAGGGGUGAAAUCCGUUGAUAUCGAGGGAAAUACCAAAUGCGAAGGCAGCUAACUGGGGCUCAAUUGACGCUGAGGCACGAAAGCGUGGGUAGCGAACGGGAUUAGAUA
rnacentral:rRNA from 1 species